UCUUGUAGAUGAGCAAAGAAAGUGUUUUCUUGAGAUGGAACCUACUUCUGGUGAAGAUGCUGUGAA
rnacentral:pre_miRNA from 1 species